UACGUAGGGGGCAAGCGUUGUCCGGAUUUAUUGGGCGUAAAGCGCGUGUAGGCGGCCAGGUAGGUCUGGUGUGAAAACUCGAGGCUUAACCUCGAGAUGUCAUCGGAAACCAUCUGGCUAGAGUCCGGAAGAGGAGAGUGGAAUUCCUGGUGUAGCGGUGAAAUGCGCAGAUAUCAGGAAGAACACCAAUGGCGAAAGCAGCUCUCUGGGACGGUACUGACGCUGAGACGCGAAAGCGUGGGGAGCGAACAGG
rnacentral:rRNA from 1 species